CUACAAACUCUUGCUGUCCAAAAUGAGCUUACUUAAAUCCCUCCUUUCCUUCCUUGUUGCUACCCUUUACUUCACCUUUGCCGAUGCGGCCACAUUUGACAUAACCAACAAAUGCCCUUACACAGUCUGGGGAGCUGCCUCUCCCGGCGGUGGCAAGGAACUCAAAACCGGUGAGACAUGGAAAAUUAGUGCUAAUCCUGGAACUACCAAAGCACGCAUUUGGGCUCGUACCAAAUGUCAAUUUGAUGCUUCUGGGAAAGGCAA
rnacentral:misc_RNA from 1 species